UGUUAUGUGGCUUAGCCGAUUAAAGCGUCGGAUUAAUAAAACGGAGUCGUGGGUUCGAAUCCCACCAAAACAA
rnacentral:tRNA from 1 species